GGCGGUGUAGCUCAGUUGGCUAGAGCAUGCGGUUCAUACCCGCAGUGUCAGCGGUUCAAAUCCGUUCACCGCUACCA
rnacentral:tRNA from 1 species